AUGAACGCUAGCUACAGGCUUAACACAUGCAAGUCGAGGGGCAGCAUCAUCAAAGCUUGCUUUGAUGGAUGGCGACCGGCGCACGGGUGAGUAACACGUAUCCAACCUGCCGACAACACUGGGAUAGCCUUUCGAAAGAAAGAUUAAUACCGGAUGGCAUAAUUAUUCCGCAUGGGAUAAUUAUUAAAGAAUUUCGGUUGUCGAUGGGGAUGCGUUCCAUUAGGCAGUUGGCGGGGUAACGGCCCACCAAACCUACGAUGGAUAGGGGUUCUGAGAGGAAGGUCCCCCACAUUGGAACUGAGACACGGUCCAAACUCCUACGGGAGGCAGCAGUGAGGAAUAUUGGUCAAUGGACGAGAGUCUGAACCAGCCAAGUAGCGUGAAGGAUGACUGCCCUAUGGGUUGUAAACUUCUUUUAUACGGGAAUAAAGUGAGCCACGUGUGGCUUUUUGUAUGUACCGUAUGAAUAAGGAUCGGCUAACUCCGUGCCAGCAGCCGCGGUAAUACGGAGGAUUCGAGCGUUAUCCGGAUUUAUUGGGUUUAAAGGGAGCGUAGGCGGGUUGUUAAGUCAGUUGUGAAAGUUUGCGGCUCAACCGUAAAAUUGCAGUUGAUACUGGCGACCUUGAGUGCAACAGAGGUAGGCGGAAUUCGUGGUGUAGCGGUGAAAUGCUUAGAUAUCACGAAGAACUCCGAUUGCGAAGGCAGCUUACUGGAUUGUAACUGACGCUGAUGCUCGAAAGUGUGGGUAUCAAACAGGAUUAGAGACCCUGGUAGUCCACACAGUAAACGAUGAAUACUCGCUGUUGGCGAUAUACAGUCAGCGGCCAAGCGAAAGCAUUAAGUAUUCCACCUGGGGAGUACGCCGGCAACGGUGAAACUCAAAGGAAUUGACGGGGGCCCGCACAAGCGGAGGAACAUGUGGUUUAAUUCGAUGAUACGCGAGGAACCUUACCCGGGCUUAAAUUGCAACUGACGGAACCGGAAACGGUUCUUUCUUCGGACAGUUGUGAAGGUGCUGCAUGGUUGUCGUCAGCUCGUGCCGUGAGGUGUCGGCUUAAGUGCCAUAACGAGCGCAACCCUUACGGGUAGUUACCAUCAGGUUAUGCUGGGGACUCUACCCGGACUGCCGUCGUAAGAUGUGAGGAAGGUGGGGAUGACGUCAAAUCAGCACGGCCCUUACGUCCGGGGCUACACACGUGUUACAAUGGGGGGUACAGAAGGCAGCUACACGGCGACGUGGUGCUAAUCCCAAAAGCCUCUCUCAGUUCGGAUUGGAGUCUGCAACCCGACUCCAUGAAGCUGGAUUCGCUAGUAAUCGCGCAUCAGCCACGGCGCGGUGAAUACGUUCCCGGGCCUUGUACACACCGCCCGUCAAGCCAUGAAAGCCGGGGGUACCUGAAGUACGUAACCGCGAGGAGCGUCCUAGGGUAAAACUGGUGAUUGGGGCU
rnacentral:rRNA from 1 species